rnacentral:rRNA from 1 species
ACUUACCAAACCGAUGCAAACUCCGAAUACCAAUGAGUACUAUCCGGGAGACAGACUGCGGGUGCUAACGUCCGUAGUCAAGAGGAAAACAAUCCAGACCGCCAGCUAAGGCCCCAAAAUUAUAGUUAAGUGGGAAACGAUGUGGGAAGGCAUAGACAGCUAGGAGGUUGGCUUAGAAGCAGCCAUCCUUUAAAGAAAGCGUAAUAGCUCACUAGUCGAGUCGGCCUGCGCGGAAGAUGUAACGGGGCUAAAACUAUAUGCCGAAGCUGCGGAUUUGCAAUUUAUUGCAAGUGGUAGGGGAGCGUUCUGUAAGCCGAUGAAGGUGUAUUGAGAAGUAUGCUGGAGGUAUCAGAAGUGCGAAUGCUGACAUGAGUAGCGUUAAAGCGGGUGAAAAGCCCGCUCGCCGGAAGACCAAGGGUUCCUGUCCAACGUUAAUCGGGGCAGGGUGAGUCGACCCCUAAGGCGAGGCUGAAAAGCGUAGUCGAUGGAAAACAGGUUAAUAUUCCUGUACUUCCAGUUAUUGCGAUGGAGGGACGGAGAAGGCUAGGCCAGCUUGGCGUUGGUUGUCCAAGUUUAAGGUGGUAGGCUGAAAUCUUAGGCAAAUCCGGGAUUUCAAGGCCGAGAGCUGAUGACGAGUGCUCAUUAGAGCGCGAAGUGGUUGAUGCCAUGCUUCCAGGAAAAGCCUCUAAGCUUCAGAUUACAAGUCAUCGUACCCCAAACCGACACAGGUGGUCAGGUAGAGAAUACUAAGGCGCUUGAGAGAACUC